rnacentral:misc_RNA from 1 species
GUGCACGUGAGCAUUCGCCACCGAUAUACCUGUGCCCCUCUCUGUCUGCCCCUCUCCGUUUCAUUGGCUUGUCCUCCCUUCCACUGCACAGAGUCAUUGUGAAACGGAUAAAAAAGUUUACGAGUGUACGCUGCCUGUCGUGCAUCACGUACACAGAAGUUUUGCUUGCUUGCGUAUGUGUGUGUGUGUGUUUCCUUCGUGCUAGCGUUCUGUAUCGGCACAGCGUCGUCGCUGCUUCUGCCGCCCUUUUUGUUCUCGUUUCUGUUGGCGCUAUACACGUUUGUCACGAAGGAGGCGCGUGGCAGCUGGCAGCCUUUCAGUGUCUCUUUUACCCCCUCCUUUCUCUCCGCGUGUCGUCGCUUCGUUCUGUAUGUGUGCGCCGACGUCGACGAUCACGCAGGACACAGACCGAAGCGCAUACACAGGUUCACUGCUUUUUGUAGUGCCCAGCAAGGCGAAGAUGUCGUCGAAGAGUAUUGACGUUUUCAACGUGUCGCAGAAUCGCCUGCGCGCCGCCACGUUCCAAGAUGAGGAGGAGCGGCAAAACGCCGAGUACGCUGAACGACACAAUCUGCAGGCCCUCUUCAGCGAGUUCGCGGCACAGUUGCGCGAGAAGGACCCCAAGACGGAGCAUGAGGCGGAGCGUGUCCUCCUCGAUCUCCUCUCACACCGGAAGGCAGAGCGGGACCGCGCCGCGCUGCGGCUGCACUUUGUCGCCUCUUUUGAAGUCAACCUCGACAAUGGCCGCAAGAUUUUGAAGCUGACGUCUGGGUCGGAGACAAGCACGCUGCACAUUGUGCAGAAGACGCGCUCCGUCGCCGUUGAUGAAACCUUCACGGUGUCGCUGGAAGAGGCCGAAGAGCUGACAGAGAUGUUCUACGAGCUGGGCCGCUUCGUGGUGGAGUCCGGCAAGGGUGAGCUGAACGGGUUUAUUAGCAUCGAUGACCGCGAUGUGUUUCUGCUCGCCGGCGGAAAGGACUGCUCCGACAUUGGUGACGAACUCUUCAACAUGGCGUUUCUCAUGAAGGCGUCGAGCAAAAAUCGAGGGACGGAGUAGCGCAAGCAGAGCGACAGAACCCCAGAAAGCGUGAGAGAGGCGAUGGUGCUAUGGAGGAGUCGAAGGGCUCCAGCAACUGGAAUGAGGGGAGGGUGGGAGAGUGAUAUGCAAGGGGGCCCGCGCCGCGAGCAUUUUUAAUUGUUGUGCAGGGUUGCCUUUCGGGCGCGAAAGCGUGUCUCCCCACUGUCUUUCUCUCUGUGAUGUGUGCGUCGGCGCCACUGCCUCCUUCCGCAUUCUCUGGUGUGCGUGCCUCUCCCCACCACCAUCAACCCCACUCUUCUUCCUGUUCUAUUACGACGGAGAAAAGGAAAGUACUCUUCGGAUUUUUCAUGUCUUUUUUUUCUUCCUUUGUCGCCAUGUCCUUUCUGUUCCAGUGUACGGGUACCGCGUGCUUGGACGUCUGCGUCUGACGUUACCUUAUUCUUGCUCCCUCACCUGGCCACUGCGCCAUCGUGCUUGUUUUCAUGCCACCUCGUUCUCCACUUGCAGCCGUUCUUCUUGUCGUGUCUGCAUCUGCCCUUAGGUCCCCCUCGCCGUCCAAAGUGUCACAGGAGACGGCGAAGGCGGGAUACGGCGCACAGGAAACGCAGACGUUUUACAGGCGAGGGCCAAUUGCCAAACACGAG